AUUGAACGCUGGCGGCAUGCCUUACACAUGCAAGUCGAACGGCAGCACGGGUGCUUGCACCUGGUGGCGAGUGGCGAACGGGUGAGUAAUACAUCGGAACAUGUCCUGUAGUGGGGGAUAGCCCGGCGAAAGCCGGAUUAAUACCGCAUACGAUCUACGGAUGAAAGCGGGGGACCUUCGGGCCUCGCGCUAUAGGGUUGGCCGAUGGCUGAUUAGCUAGUUGGUGGGGUAAAGGCCUACCAAGGCGACGAUCAGUAGCUGGUCUGAGAGGACGACCAGCCACACUGGGACUGAGACACGGCCCAGACUCCUACGGGAGGCAGCAGUGGGGAAUUUUGGACAAUGGGCGAAAGCCUGAUCCAGCAAUGCCGCGUGGGUGAAGAAGGCCUUCGGGUUGUAAAGCACUUUUGUCCGGAAAGAAAUCCUUGGCCCUAAUACGGUCGGGGGAUGACGGUACCGGAAGAAUAAGCACCGGCUAACUACGU
rnacentral:rRNA from 1 species